UGGGGAAUCUUGCGCAAUGGGCGAAAGCCUGACGCAGCGACACCGCGUGGGGGACGAAGGCCUUUCAGGUCGUAAACCCCUUUCGGCAGGGACGAAGCGAUCUCGUGACGGUACCUGCAGAAGAAGCCUCGGCUAACUACGUGCCAGCAGCCGCGGUAACACGUAGGAGGCGAGCGUUGUCCGGAAUCAUUGGGCGUAAAGAGCGCGCAGGCGGCCCGGCAAGUCGGGUGUGAAAUCUCGGGGCUCAACCCCGGAACUGCAUCCGAUACUGCCGGGCUAGAGGUAGGUAGGGGAGAUCGGAAUUCCUGGUGUAGCGGUGAAAUGCGCAGAUAUCAGGAGGAACGCCGGUGGCGAAGGCGGAUCUCUGGGCCUUACCUGACGCUCAGGCGCGAAAAGCUAGGGGAGCGAACAGGAUUAGAUACCCUGGUAGUCCUAAGCCGUAAAACGUUGGUGCUAGGUGUGGGCGGAUAUCGACCCCGUCCGUGCCGAAGCUAACGCAUUAAGCACCCC
rnacentral:rRNA from 1 species